AUUGAACGCUGGCGGCAGGCCUAACACAUGCAAGUCGAGCGGGGUUUUCGGACCUAGCGGCGGACGGGUGAGUAAUGCGUAGGAAGCUACCCGAUAGAGGGGGAUACCAGUUGGAAACGACUGUUAAUACCGCAUAAUGUCUACGGACCAAAGUGUGGGACCUUCGGGCCACAUGCUAUCGGAUGCGCCUACGUGGGAUUAGCUAGUUGGUGGGGUAAUGGCUCACCAAGGCGACGAUCCCUAGCUGGUUUGAGAGGAUGAUCAGCCACACUGGAACUGAGACACGGUCCAGACUCCUACGGGAGGCAGCAGUGGGGAAUAUUGGACAAUGGGCGCAAGCCUGAUCCAGCCAUGCCGCGUGUGUGAAGAAGGCCUUCGGGUUGUAAACUGCUUUUGUACGGAACGAAAAGGUUUCUAUUAAUACUAGGAGCUCAUGACGGUACCGUAAGAAUAAGCACCGGCUAACUACGUG
rnacentral:rRNA from 1 species